UCCGCCCCCUCGCCGCCCGCGCGUCCAGCUGCUCCCACGCUCUCCGCGGUCCUAGGGGUGAGAGACCCGGAAGCCGCGCCCCAACUCGUCUCCGGCAUGUGGGCAGCGGGGCAUUCUGGGGGGAUAAGGAAACGAGCUGUGAGAGUAUAACUGCCUGCUCAGGGACUCCGCUGAGGCCCACAAACCCACAUGAAUGCUCUCUGCGCCACUAAGCUGCUAAGUUGAUUGGUCCAUGGACAGACAUUAGUUUUCUGAAAGACUCAAAGUAAUGCCAAGAACUUCCAGGUGAAGGAGACCUUCAUAGACCUGUAACUGGAUUAGCCACUUCUUGAAUUGCAAGAGGAAGUUACAACUAAUUCUCAGGAUCAAAGUCAAAACAAGCCUGUGACUCCAUGAAUACUGAAGGCAACCACGGUAGAUCCCAGAGACCAAAGCCCCAGUGAGCAAGAGGGGCCAGCUUCUUCCCACCUCCGGCCACCAGCCUGUGCUGCCUACAUACGGCCUCCUCUGCUGUAGAACCCAUGGGGAAGCAGCGCACACAAUGGCGUGCGUGUUCCCGGCUUCUGGCUGCUCUGGGCACCCUCAAGGAAGC